rnacentral:rRNA from 1 species
UACAGAGGUCCCGAGCGUUAGGCGGAAUCACUGGGCUUAAAGCGUGUGUAGGUGGAUCGUUAAGUACCUUGUGAAAUCCCACGGCUUAACCGUGGAACUGCUUGGUAUACUGGCGGUCUUGAGCCAGCUAGGGGCUACCGGAACAAAUGGUGGAGCGGUGAAAUGCGUUGAUAUCCUAAGGAACACCAGUGGCGAAAGCGACUCACUGGGUCUCCACUGACGCUGAGGCACGAAAGCUAGGGUAGCGAACGGG